GGGGUGGGAGUGGCAGCCGUUCCAGCGGGCAUACGUGUCCGCUGCAGGCUCUCACACCUCGGGUGACACUUCCACCGUCCACGUACUCAAGCUGGACCUGUCCGUCCACCCUCGGGUGGGGUUGCAGGGGUUGCACCUCAAUGCCUCGGGCAGGGGUGAGGUUGGAACCCAGGUCCGGUGAUCCCAGGACCUCUGCCCCAGCAUCCUUGUGGCACUGCUUAGGGGGCAGGGCACAGUGCCCCACCCCACCCCUGCCCACAAGAAAAGUCAGGUGGGCUGGGGCCGGCGUGAUGGGCAGGCCUGAAGCUAGCGCACAGUGGGAGAUAAGCCUUAUCUGGAAGUGGCGGCUGGGGUCGGAAUUGGGCUGAUGGGAACGGGGACAGCCUUCCGGGUUAAUACAGUUCCGCAGAUAACGAGGGAGCUCUGCGCCAGCCGGGAGAUUCUGCUCUCCCCGCCUAUGGCCCUGCUGUCCUGCACCCUGUACAGGUGUCCCCACUUCUGUGUGCACAGGAGGGCACCUGCCGUGGGAGGUCCAGUGCAUGCCGGUGUGGCACGCAGUUGGGGGCACCUCCAGGAGAUGGGGUCAUCACCUGUGCUGGAGGGGCAAGUCAGCGCCAGGGCCUUCGGCCAGGUGAGCUUACUGUGGCCCCUACAGCGGUCCAGGUCCCUGUCCUCUGCCCUGGCAGCGUCCACGUGAGGUCCGCGUUCCCAGGCGCCAGCCUCCCAGCUCCUACUUCAGCCUCCUCUGUGCUGUGCUUCCCACUGGGGUGUGGGGCAGCCUCCCAGUAGGGGCCACCUGGACAAGGUGAGGUGGUGCUGGGGAGGGGCGAGGGCGUGGCAGGUGGGAGCCUGCUCCCCCCCCCAUGAGGUCACAGCUCUGUCUCCAGUCCCUGCUGGGCCCGCAGGACUCCCUCACCCCAGCCUGCGGAGAAAGAGUAAUUAACGUGAAGCUGAAAACUGAGCCAUUAAUUAGCGCAGCUCAGCAGCAGGCUUGGGCCGGGAGUGGGGCGCUGGGAUGCUGCACCUAACGAACGGGGUGACAUGCGAGGGGCGCAGGUGGGGAUUCCAGAGACCCAGGUGGUCUCCUGUGGGGUGGGCGCUGCAGAAGGGGGCCGGCUGGGGGCUGGGGGGGCCUGGACGGGCACCACUGGCUGGAUAUGGGAGCACAGAGGAGGGGCCCUCUAGGCGGACAGGAGCGGGGAGAGGAAGCGGGAAGCGCGGGGAGCACUGAUGACCAGUAGGGACAGCCUGGGCAGAGGCCCUAAGAUGUGCUCCUGCUUGACUGAGGCUGCCUGUGUGCUGGCCAGCGGGAGGGCGGCCUGGACCCACACCGUCCCCACCCAGGCCACAGGUCCCAGGUCACAUGGCCCUGCCCCCCUGCUCGGCUGUUGCUCAAUCCCCAUGCCGCCCUCACCUUAUCACGGCCCCACGGGACAGUGCUGCAGAAAUGGCCACUUCCCGUGGCCACAGCUGGGGCCCCAGAUAAAGGCCCCCGGAGCCCUGCCGGCCUGGUUGCUGGGGUGCUAGGCCAAGCCCGGCCCACACCUCACCCCCAGAGACACUGCUGAGGCUCAUCUUCCACAUGGGCCCUGUAGGUGCCUGGCUCCACUGGCCACCGCGCCACCCAGGGCCCGCCCGGGCCUCCGGGGGCGAGGACACCUGUGGCCAGCACCACACUGCUUGUCACAGCACAAGGGCCCCAGAGGCGGCCUGGGCUCCGAGGGGGCCCCCCAGCACAUGCACCACCGCCGCCUGUCCCCUCAGCCCGCACAGCCAGGCUCCCGGGUGCAGCUCCCUUGAGGGAGGGGUAAGGGUGUCACCCCUCCCUGGACCCAGGGCCCUGCGGGCUCCAGCUCCCCUCGCUACGGGAGCAUCCCCGGACAGGACACCUACCUGCUGGCUACACUGACCCCUUCCCUAAGUUCCCAAGGAGGCCGAGGAGACCAACAGGGCUCCGGUCGGGGGCCUAGAAGACGGGAAGGGACAAACUUCCGGGGGUCAGCACCAGGGGAGGCCCCGAAAUGCUCAGCCGCAGGACUAGGGCAGCACCUCAGCUCUCACCACACUCCCUGAACAGAGACUCCCUCCCCCAGCAGGGCUGCAUCGCAGCCUGUGUACCCACGGUCACCACCAGGGUCACAGACACAAGAACCACAGUGUCACGGGCCUGCCCGACGCCACGGUGAGCCUCGGUCCUGGCCUUCCUCCUCCCAUCGCCAUCUUCACUGCCUCUCCUACCGUCCCAGCCUUCUCCCUGCCCUUCUGGUCACACCACUAGCGCCUCCCCACUUUGUGUCCCUGUCCUUGGCUCAGGGUUCCACGUGGCAGUGUCUGCGGAGGACCUGCUGUCCCGGGGAAGCUGUGACCCAGAAGGUCCCCAGCCAGGUCCUGUGUGGUGCGGUGUGGGAGGAGGCGGCAGGGUGGGGCAGAUCUCCUGGUGAGCCUGCUGGGAGGUGUGGAAGGCUCUUGCCCUUCUGUGGGCCCAGGCUCCAGGGCACAACCUCAGCUUGCGUGGCCAUGGCCUGGGCUGCGCGGUUCUGCGUUCCAUGGGGAGCUGGGGAUGGAAGGCCUGGUGGAGACAGCAGGGCUGGAGGCCUCGAUGUGGUCCUCGGCACGUAGGUGUGGGUGGCCAGGCACCCUUGUGACCACAGAGGGCGUGGACCUUGGGCAGGGCCAGGGCCCGUGCAAGGCUUGCAUGGCAGGGAGCUUCUGGGCAUCCGGGGCACUCGAGGACCCACAUGAGAUCUUGCAGGCCACCAUUCCAGGCCCCAGGAAGAGGACAGCUCCCAUUGGCUGUGGGCACGGCUGGCAGCAGGCAGGACUAUUGUGUAAUGGGUGUGGCGUGGAAUGGAGCAACCGGCUUUCUAGUCACAGGCGGGUCUGGCAAUGGUGGGGCAAUAGCUCCCCGCACCCUCCUUGUCUGUACCCCUGCCCCAUGGGCACCCCGCAUGCUCGGGCCCCCGGGCCUCCCCUCCCGUGUGCCCCAAUGGUUGGAUCAGGGGUGGGAAGGACGCACUGCUCAGGGCCCCAGGCACAGACCUGGCGAGGAUAGGACCAGGCAGGUGUGAUAAGGAGGGACAGUUGUCACCAUCAUGGGCACGGCUAAUAGCCAGAUAAGAAUCUCCCAGUGGCCGGAAGGUGAGGAUGGCUGGCAGGGCUCCCCACUUCUCGGGUGGGGACACUGAGGCCACUCAGCUGGGCAGAGGCCCCGGGGCCUGGGCAGACUCAGAGCCCUGCCCUCCCUACUGCGUCACUAGGGUGACCGCAGCCUGGAUGGUGCUGUGGCCUGGGGCUCUGCGGCUGCAGACCCAGCUGUCCCCACGCGGCCUGAGACCAGCGCCGGACUCGAAGGAGCAGAGCCCAUGUCACCCCCGCGCCUGCAUGGUGACCGGUGACGUUCCCGCUCCCCGGUGUGCGUGGCAGCCCCACCUGUCGCUGUGUUCACGGCAGGAGCCCUUCCAGUGGGUGUGGAGCGGGCGGUGUGAACUCGAGCUGCUGUGGCCGUCGUCGUCAGCAUGAACGGAUGGACACGGACAGCACGGGGGAGGACGUCACCCAAGGGGUAGGCAGAGGUGGGCAGCGCGACUCCUGCCGGCUUCCUGACUCGGCGCGUCGGCCCUGCCCGGGUCAGGAGGGACUCCAGGGGCUGUUACCUGCGGCCCAUUGCUCCUCUCCCCCAGACACAGAGGACCCCGAGCCCACACAGCCACCCGCAGGCUCAGAGGUUCAGCACCUGUCGGUCCCAGCACCCCCGUCCCACCCCUGGGCCCUGCCGCACAGCUGUCCUGCCAGAGACAAUCAACAGAUCGCCCACAAGUCAAAGGCGGACCCGAGACCGGAACGUGGUGGUGAGGCCGAUGGGCGCCUCCUUGCUUCCUGCCCACCAGGUCUCCAUCAGUCCCGAUGGGAGGAGGCACCCGGACCCCACCCGCCCCCCUACUCCCCAAGCUGCAGCUUCUCCAAGAGGGACUGACGGGUGAGGAAGCCCCGGUACAAACAGCUCUGGGGUCACUCCCAAGCCUGGACACUGGCAGGGAGGCCGGGCCACAGUCCCAUCCUGCAGUCUGAUAGCCACUGGGGCAGAAGGGAGAGCAGGAGUGUGGAGCAGGGAGCCCCAGCUUUCCCCUCGGGACCCCCGUAGGCCCCUCAAGUCUCGGCCCUGGAAGCAGCUCACACAGCACCUGGGCAGCACCCAGGCCCCACCACAAGCCCGGCAGGACUCAUCAGCAGCCUCUUCUCUUUACCUUCCCCCAAACCAGUGGGACUGAGUCACUCCACAAUUCUGAGUGAGUCCCAACUCUGUGACCGUUUUCUUUUAAGUUGUUUAUUAAAUACAGUAGAAAUCGCCCCGUUAGACCAGUCCUUCUGAUUCUGGAAGACCCACACGGCGAUCAACCUCACCCCAUCACCCAGUGCCCGCCCCAUCCUGGCCUUGCUUCUCCCAGGACGCUGCGCCGUGGCUCUCAGCCCCCAUGGGAGCGGGGCUUUCCACACGUCCUGCACUCCCGAAUCGCAGCUUGUUCGCGGCUGCAUAACAUUCUGCUGUGCCCGCACUGCUGUCAGUUUCUCCAACCACCGGCCCUUGCAGGCGUACGGUGCUCCCACCCUGAGGUGACCUCGAGUAACUGCUGAGGACCGGAGCCCAUUUCCCAGGGAGACCCUGGGCACGGGCAGGGGUGGAAGGCAGCGCUCAUUCCCUGCAGAAAGAACUGCAGGCCACUGCCCAGUGCUUCCCUAUCCCAGCCUCCACAUUUUUAUUCUUCAGUCCACACACUCUGUGCACAGGAGCCUACUCGGGACCCUCACUGUGUGAGGUAGGAGGAAACCGACAGGACAGCAGGCCCUGCCCUAGGGGACACCUGUCCAGGGGCAGCAUAGAGGAGGCCAGGACCCUGACACUCAGGAUCCAGUCCCAUGUGGAGACCUGUGAGAGGCGAUGGUGGAGGAAGGGGAGAGGCCGCCCAGCAGCAGCAGGAGGGACUCAAGCCCCUCAGGACCCAACCAGGGGGGCCAUCAUCACUCCCAGUCUACAGCGGAACACCUUUGAGGUUCAGAGUGGCUGUCACCUGCCCCAGGAUCGGGACAAGAGGGGCAGGGCCAGGAUUGGACCUGGAUUCCUGGCGGCUCCCAGCUCCAGCACCCCACUCCAACCUACCCCCACCCGCCCCCCCAGGAGGUCCAGGCUGUGACAACGCGGUGGGGCGGGGCGGGUGGCAGGGAGCGCUGCGCUGCCACCCUUCGCCCACAGAGGGCAGCAGCGGCCCAGACCCUAGGCGGCAGAUGCGGCUCCGCAGUGGUGGGCACAGGAGACCAGGAAGAUGGGACCGCGUGGGGGUCUCUGUGCCCCAUGCCCCACCUCCGGCUGCACCUGCCCCAGCCGGAGCCCGCGGGGUCCCCUCCUGGGCCUGAAUACUCUGGGACCCGAGACGCACUGGCUUUAAAGCGUGGCUGAGAAACAGGUUCUACAGCAGCUCCUAGAGAUUUUUCCAGAACCCAGGGUCUUCGCACUGAGCUGCAUCCCCAGCCCUUUUCCUUUAUUUUAAGACGGUUUUGCAGACCCUUGUUAAACUGUCCAGGGUGGGCUUGAACUUCAAGUCCUCCUGCCUCACCCUCCACGAGUGCUGGGACUUUACCGGCCUGUACACCUGGCAUGAUCAUUUUUUUAUUGAUCACAUGUGGAUGUAACAAUAUCCCGAAUA